UACAGCGAGGCAGAGUGAAGUAUAGUGAAGGGAGAGUGAGGCAGAGAGUAAUACAGCGAGGCAGAGUGAAGUACAGCGAGGCAGAGUGAAGUACAGUGAAGGGAGAGUGAGGCAGAGAGUAAUACAGCGAGGCAGAGUGAAGUACAGCGAGGCAGAGAGUAAUACAGCGAGGCAGAGUGAAGUACAGCGAGGCAGAGAGUAAUACAGCGAGGCAGAGAGUAAUACAGCGAGGCAGAGAGUAAUACAGCGUAUAUUUUAAUAGCAGAUUUUAUAGUUCACUUUAGCCUAGUGCACACUACAUGAGUUCCCCCUCCAUAACAAAAUCGCUGAGCGUUACCAUGGCAACCGCUAGUGCUGUGUGACGGGUUCAGCAUCGCGAUGCGCAGUUUGUUGAAGACACCCGGAUGUUUUGUUUAAUGCACGUUCAACCUCCCCGUGACGAAUCGUGUAGCGCGGGCCCCUGUACCCC
ensembl:lncRNA